rnacentral:rRNA from 1 species
CGCAAGCCUGACGGAGAAACGCCGCGUGUGGGAAGAAGGCUCAUGGGCUGUCAACCACUUUUCUCUGGGAAGAUGAUGACGGUACCAGAGGAAUCAGCCUCGGCAAACUCCGUGCCAGCAGCCGCGGUAAUACGGAGGAGGCAAGCGUUAUCCGGAAUUAUUGGGCGUAAAGCGUCCGUAGGUGGUUAUUCAAGUCUGCUGUCAAAGCGUGGGGCCUAACUCCAUAGAGGCAGUGGAAACGGGAUGACUUAAGUGCGGUAGGGGUCGAGGGAAUUCCCAGUGUAGCGGUGAAAUGCGUAGAUAUUGGGAAGAACACCAGUGGCGAAAGCGCUCGACUGGGCCUGCACUGACACUGAGGGACGAAAGCUAGGGGAGCG